rnacentral:rRNA from 1 species
UACGAGAGGCCCAAACGUUAUUCGGAAUCACUGGGCUUAAAGAGUUCGUAGGCGGCGCGGAAAGUGGGGUGUGAAAGCCCUCGGCUCAACCGAGGAAUUGCGCUCCAUACUCCCGUGCUAGAGGAGGCUAGAGGUAAGCAGAACUGAUGGUGGAGCGGUGAAAUGCGUUGAUAUCAUCAAGAAUACCGGAGGCGAAGGCGGCUUACUGGGACCUUUCUGACGCUGAGGAACGAAAGCUAGGGGAGCAAACGGG